rnacentral:lncRNA from 1 species
UUCAUAUGAGUGGAUUAUGUGGGUGCGAGGUGUGACAAUCGUCUCUGACCGAGUUGUAGUUUGAUAGUAUAUGCAAAGCGUGAAGUAUUCAUUCAUGCGACACUCCGCGUGCUUGGGUUUCCUUCUCUGGAGCCGACACCGCGUUUUUGCUUUGAUGACAUGUCGUUUUCCCUUCCACCAAAACUCUCUCUACCCAUUUCUUCCACUUUUUCUAUAAUAAAAAAGAAACAAAUUAAACACGUUUUUUUUAAAAAAAAUUUCUUCUUCAUAAUUCUUUAAUUAAUCUUGAGGUUAUCCUUUAGUUAAUAUAUUAGUAAUUAUCUAAUUGUAAAUGUUAUUUUUUAUUUUUUUAAAACUAAAAAAUAAUACCAUAGAUUCAGAAAAAAAAAAAAAAAAAAAGUAGUUCCGGAUUAGUUACUAUGCUAAUAAUCUGCAUUAUUUUAACCCCAUAAUUUCAUGAUAAGGAUCAUCUUCAAUUAUUUUGUUUUAUUUCUAUUAUUGCAUUUUGCAUUAUUUAUAAACUUUUUUCUUCAGUUAUAAUUAUUCAAAAAAAAAAAAAAAAGAUUUUGAUUUGUUAUUUCAAUAAAUGAAAAUUUGAGGGUUUCUUUGAUUUUUUAUUUUAUUUUUCAAACCUAAUUAGGGUAGAUCUUAGUUUUUUUCCCUUCUGAUUUUAUCACUCUUUGUAAACAUUUUUAAAGUUGUUUAUAAAUUUUGAAGACAAUAAAAACAAGUUUAGGGUUUUUUUUUUUUUUUUCCUUCUAAAUUUAAGUAAACAAAUUUCUCGUUCCUAAAAUGCAUAAUAACUUUAAUUUCUACAGAGUACAACACUAUUAAUAUUAAAGUUGAGAUAUUUAAUGUUUAAAAACCUUGUUUUUCAUGUAUUUUUGAUUCCAUUUUUAUUUAGUUUAUGAUUUGAAAGAAGAAGAAACAUUAAAGAGUGCAAUAAGAAUUAAGUAACAGUUAUGGAACAUAUUCCAAUCAUAAUAAAUUAAAAAUGAGAAUUGAGAAACCCCAGAGAAAGGAUAGUGUAAAAUAUUAAGUUAAUUUUACAUGUGGAGUAAUAUAUAGUGUUGUUUAUGGAUGAAUAUAUUACAGGCAAGAGCAAUUCUAAAGUUGGCUACUAGAGAAAUGGAGGAAAAUGGUUUGAGCGAAACACCAUCACCGAUGCUACAACAGUCGUCUCCACCACCACGAACCCCGACCACGCCGGGACUUUCCAUGAAGAAAUCACUCCAAAGAUUUUUGCAGAAGAGAAAGCAUAGGGUUCAAGCAACUUCUCCAUACAACCAUUGAAAGAUAUAUAUAUUAAAAUUAAGGCCAUUGGGGGCUUAGAUCAUUAGAUCGUGUGUUCUUAACUAUUUUGAUCCUUUUUUCUUUCUUUCAUAUAUAUAAAUAUAUGAUGUAAGAGGACAUAAGAACACCUUGAGGCUUUGUAAAUUACUAUCGAUCUCGUUUGUUUUUGUUAAUUUAAUUCUUCAACUUCAAAUUUUACCUUUGUUCUUCACUUUAAUUCAUCUAUACAAACUCAUUUAUAAAACUAUAAAUAGUAUACCAAUGUCAACAUUUUCCAUAUUUAUGAUCUCUUUUAUACUUAUAUCAAGGUGAUGGUACUGAAAAUAUAUUCGUUUAUUUAACGUGUUUGUUUAACCUAUCUUUCUAUAGUAACAUAGUGCUCCUUAUUGAUUAAAAUCUUUCUUUUGAUCCAUAAAGUUUUUUUCUUUUCUUUUUUGUUUUCUACAAUAUCUUUAAAGAAGUGUAUAAUAGCAAUAUUCGGACCACCUAUUGCAUCAUUUCAUUUUCCAUUAAAUAAAUUAAUAAAGUGCAUUGUUUAGAGUUAGAUAGAGUUUAAUCAUACCUAAUAUAAAUUCUAUUCUAAGUCUUAAUUCUCCACCAUCUAUUAUUAAACUUUAUGAAGAAAAGAAAAAUAGUUGUUCAGUCAAAAGAGCUAUCCAUUUGAUUAAAUACACCAAUUUGGUCCAUAAUUUAUAAAUUCAUUUAACACAUGUGUUUUCAAAGUUUAUGAAUUAUUUGUUAUUGUUGUUAUUAUUAUUAUUAUUAUUAUUAUUUAAUUUCCAAAUUCCUACUUCAAUAAUGAGUUAAUGAUAGUUGAACAAUAAAUUUAUUAGGUUAUUUGUAUGAAACAUGUUUUUGUUGAUGUAACGAUUUCAAUUACGAUCCAAGUUAAGUUCACUUUGUGAUAUUUCAAUUAAUAACUCUAAAUUAAAAUCAUCACAAAUCCAUAGCAUAAGACAACCAUAGUUUUCCUAUUUAAUAGGAAGAGUUGAUUUAAAAUGAGAAAGGAAUAAAGAACUAAGAAUAAAAUCUAAAAAAUAUCAAACACUUUAUUCUGUCAUUUAUGCUAUGACAGUUAAUAUCCUUAAUUAAUUGCUUUAUCCUUUCAUGAUCUUUUCUUUCCUGUGCUGAAUUUAAUCAACCCUUUUUUGCUUAAUCGAUGAACACCUUACCCUAAUUUAGUUUUAAAUGAAAUAUAUCAAUCACUAUCCGAUUCACAGCAAUGUGCUAUGAAAAUAAUAAUCCUAAAGUAAAAAUUAGAUAUUUGAAAGGUUUGGAAGCGAAAAUGAAUACAAUUCAAUCAUGUAAGUUCGAAUUUUUCGACUACAGGAAAAAGGAAAUUCUAAGGAAUGGGACCCAGGAUGAGACAAAAAGCAUAGUGAUAGCAAUUGAUAUAAGUUGAAAGAAGAGAAAAAUAGGUGCAGGAAAAGACAUUAAGCAUUAUUAUUAUUAAUAGUUACACAGAACGUUUAUCUUACCAAUUUCUCCCAAUUCUUCUUCACUCCAUCCCACAUGUCAUACUUCAAAGUCUCAAUAAAGUCUAGAUGACUAUGAAGUUUAUUUUUUUGCAUUACACUCCCUGCUCAGCUUUUGACUUUGUAUCAAAUGAGUCCUUCAAUUUUACAAAAGUUUGUAUAUAUAUAUAUACACAAUAAUGAUAUUCAAUAAUAUUUAUGUUAAUUAAAAUAGUUUUUUCUUUAAAAUCCCUCAAUUUUUCUUAUAGAUCUUCUGUAAACAUUUUAAAGCUAUCCUUUUAGAAAUUGUCAAAAAAAGAAAAAGAAAAAUAGUAUAUCUAUUUAUUUCUUUUUAAUUGACGGAUUGUUUUUAAUAUCGUAUGUAAAUUGGGUUCCUAGUAAGCUAACCAUUUUUGUAAUACUGAGGUUGGUGUUAAUUGGUGAGGUUUGAGAGACAAAGUUUAGGUGGUAGCAUUCUUCUAAAGCCAAAAAAAAUAGUGAUAAUUUUGUUUUAAUUCAAUCAUAUAUGUGGCAUAUAAUUUUAUAAGACGUCUCUUGAAUUUGGCAAAAGAGAGAACUAAGAAAACAAAAUAAAAAUGGAAAUAAAAGCACUGUUGUACUGAACAAACCUGUUUUGAAGAUGUCAAUGCCAAUUGGUAAUAAAAUGAUAGGAAAGUUCCAAGAAAUUUCAAUUGGUUAAUUAAAGAAAUAAGUUUCAUGAGGGAAUUGAGAUUCAUAAACUUGUAAUGUUUUUAUUGUUUAUAUAUCAUUUGAAUGCAAUUAAAUAGGGAUUAAGAGAUUUGUGAUUACACCCAAAGAGCACUACUUUUCAAAUAUUAAAAAAAAAAAAAAAAGGCAACGUAUUCAAACCUCACUUGCCAAUCUCCACACUUUUUAUUUCUUAAAAAAAAUGAUUUUUCUGUAUAAAAGGAAAAAUAAAAAAAUCCACUUACUCCUUAUUGGUAUUGUCAAAUUCGAUAAUAUUAAUUAAAAGUUGACAAUUUCAUAAAUCAGAAUGACCAUAAAAUUCUUAUUGGAAAGAAAGAAAAGAAAAGAAAAAAAAGCACUUUGUUAAUUGAAUUUGCUAAUCUCCAUGGGAAAAUGCCAAAUUGAAGAUCUUGUAAAAUGAUACGACUUCUCAUUCUUACUUUAUUGACUUAUUUAUUAAUUUCACACGUCUAAUACUUUAUUCAAUUAAUAUAUAUAUGUGUGUGUGUGUGUGUGUAUGUAUAUCCUUCUUCCAAAGUCAUAUAUAAUGGCUGAUUUUAUUUGAAAUUGGUUUGUUUAAUUAUAGGUAAUCAUUCCAUUUAGAGUUAAAUUGAACCAAUUAAAAAAAGUGGGCUUUCAGUUUGCUUCCCCAAAAAAUAGAAAUUAGGUGAGCUAAAUCCAAAAUUUGUACUGUUUUUGCCUUUUUCUCAUUCUCUUCAGGGGAAAUUCGUCCUUUUUCUUUAUUCUGUUUUCUCAAACGAUUAAAAUUAUGGUAUUGUUCAAAUCAGGUAAAACUUAUAAAAUAAAUCAUUAAUAUAUUCUUUCAAUAUGAUAACAUUAUUAUUAUUAAAUAUAUAUAUUAUAAAUAUAUAUAAAAAAAAAAGAAUAUUGAGAGUUGAUUGACGUAGGAAUGAUUGAAAUAAAAAAUAAAAUAAAAAGGAAAGGAAAGGAAAGAGUAAAAUAUGGAAGAGGAAGAAACGGGUAAAAUGUGUGAAGAAAAAAGUGGAGUGGGGCAGAACAGUAUUUAUUCAAAACUACGUGGGUCUUGGGGGGCAACAACUUUAUUUGUUUUUGGCUUCUUUUUUAAAUGGAAAUAAUUAUGAUUAUUACUUUCCGCAACUUUCUUUUUUAUAAAUAUUUUCAAGCUCUCAAUCCCACUUUCUAAAGAAACCUAAAAAUCUACAAAUAACAUACAAACUCCAAAAUUAGGCUAAAGUUAUGUUCAAUUAUCGAGAAAAAUUGCAUCAAAUGACAACAACAUUUACAUAUUAUAAAUAUGAUAAAUAAUUAGUGAUAUCUAUAAAACGGUUAUCAAAGAGUUAUCAAAGAGCUAUCAAAAGAUUAUCGACUCUUAAAUUUGCUACUUUUGUAAUUUUGAGAAUGUAGUGACAUUUGUCCUGUUAUUAUAUUCUUUUUGUUAUUUUUACUAGCAUUCCUUAAUUAUUUUAUUUUUAAAAGUAAGAAAAAAAUUAAUAGAAUUUGUUUGAAUGACUCUUGCAAAAAUAUUAAAAAAAUUAUGAUAAUAGAGUUUGUGUCAUUACAUUUUCUAAAUUGGAAGAGUAACAAAUUUAAAAGUUGAUUACGUUAUGGUUACCAUAUGAUAUCACUAAUUUUUCCAUACCCGCAGUAUAAAAAAAAAAAAAAAGUGUUCUGAACUGUUUUUUUCUAAACGUUUUUGUCGUUUGAAGUAAUUUUUCUUUGUUUUACUAAAUGGAUUGAUUUAUUUAAUAACACAUCUUUAACCUAAAGAUUAUUUGUUUAUUUUUAUUUUUUUAAUCUUUAAUUUUCUACGAAGAUUUUCCGAGUUUCCACAAGCAUUAACGAAUACUACUUUUCUUUAUUCUUUUUAUUACAAUAAUGAAUAUCUACCACGUUGCAAUUUUUAUUUACUUAAAAUAAAAUAAACACUUUUUUUUUUUCCUUCUUGUAGACCAUACUUUGUAAAAAGUUAUUUUUGAAUUUCGACAACAAAAAAUACAUUCAUCAUUUUCUUGGACCAACAAUUAUUGAAAAAAAAAAAAAGCUUAAAACAUUGAAGAAAAACGUGUGGAAAAUGAAAGAAAAAUAAAUAUAUAAAGUGAUUUUCCGUACAGUACUUUUUCCAGAAUUACUUGGAGAGAAUUGAGGAAACAGCUUUAUAUUCUCCAAUAUCGAUAUUAUGUCUCCUGCCUCAUUCUCUUAAUCUUUCUUAUACCUAAAUAAAUUUUGUUUGAACAAUUAGAUAUGACUUAUAAAAUCAAACUUUGAGUGCACUAACUCUUGAGAGAUAUGUCAUAGGUCUAGCAAUGUUUGUUUAUAGUUUUGUUAUAUAGGAUGAUUCUCGUGAAGAAAGUCUUUCUAAUUAAAUUCCAAUAGGAAUUUGCCCCCACAUGCUUUUUGGUGCUCUACUGCUUCAAUUUUGAUCUCAUCAACAUCCUUUUCAAAUUUUUAAUUUUAUGUAUAUUUGGAGCUUUGAGUUGUCUCCAUUUUGGGGCUCCACAUUCAUCUUCUAAUUAAUACUACGAUACAUUAGUUUGUGUCUCCAUUCUUUAAUUCAACCUAUUGAUUUUAUUGACCUCGUUUUUUAUAUGAUCUCUAUCAUGUAUUUGAUUAUUAAUGCCUAUGUCUGUUCAUGUGUGUGACAUCUGAUAUAGAGUUGGACUGAAAAUAGGCAUAAAAUGGUUUGAUUAAGAUUAUGAUUAACUGCGUCAAGAUGUGAUCCUCUCGAUUAAUCACGACAUUAUUUAAAGGAAUAUAAUUUCUAUCAAGUUGAAAGAAUGAAAACAUAACAUUUACAUCAACACAAAGUUGGCCACACAAAAAAUGUUGCUUUCCUUUUCGACCGUUAGUGUGGACUAUUUAAGUUGUUUGGAAAGAAAUAGUUGUUAGCAAUAAUGUGUCUCAGGGGUCAAAUUCAAAAGUUGAUGCAAGAGACACAAAUGCAUAUAGGAUAAUCGUAGUAAGUGACACUUUUAAGAUUAAUAAUUAAGUAUAUAUCAACAUUUUUAAAUAAUUAUAGAUAUAAGAAAAUUAUUGAUAGACUUUUAGGAAGCUAGAUUUGAAUUUUGUCAAAAAAAAAAAAAUAUUUACAUCGUGUUAGCUAUUUUUUAAAAAUUUUGUGUGGGAUAUCAAUUAUGUUUCUAAUUCAUCUCUAACAUAUUUUAAUAAAAGAAAUGUUUAUAUUAGACUUAAACUAUAAAUUUGUAUUUAAUAGGUAUGAUUGUACUAUUUUUUUCAAAUCAAUGUAUCAUUUUAUUUUGAAACAAUUAUUUUUGUUUGUUAUAUUCAUUUUUGUUAAAAUAGUUAUAUUUAAAUAUACUCGAGGAUAGACUUUAAAAUAGUUAAAAUCAUUUUUGUUAUAUUCAUUUCUAACAAAAUUAUAGGACUUGAUGAGAGUAGAGAUAACUACCGUUGGUGUUAGAAUAGAGUAUAUAUUAUCCUUCUCCCAUUUCGCUACACCAUUUCUUCUCGAGGAUUCGUUUUCUUCUAGAUCUGAAAGGAGAGCAGCCGACAUCGUCCUUGUUAACCUGCGUUGUGGCCAAUAAGACAUGACCCAAGUUCCCGCUCCUUGGUUGUAGCUUGUUAACCUAUGUUUCAAUUUUUUUGUAGCUUGUAAACAUCUUUUUUUCGAACAAGGCAAGAAAAUCAAGGGGAUUGGAACAUAAAAAUGCCUACUUUGUGUUUCUUUUCCAUUUUUUUUUUCCAUGUUACCACCUGUACCAGCAACCAAAAAGACAUCAAGAUCUCAACUUCAGUAACAUAUCAUCAAUGCUGGCAACAGAAACAAUAUAGGAUGAUGAAUGUAAUAUCCCAUUCGAGAAGACAUUACAUAUUUUAUCAUAACAGAACAUCGUUCAUAUGCUAUAUAAAUUACAACCCCAAGAAUUCAAGACUGCCAAAUUGUGUUUGUUGUUGUUGCAUAGGCAAUGCGUAUCUCAUAGCCUUGGCACGACGCGAGGAGUGUCCCAGUCGGCCACAAUGUGGCUGCGGGUGAUCUCCUGAAGUGAGCGGCAGCCACUCAAUGCCAUGGUCAGCUCGAACUCAUCACGCAUCAUCUGAAGUGCUUUCCUCACACCGGCCUCACCCUCUGCUGCCAAAGAGAACACCACUGGCCUUCCAAUCUAGCAUUGAUGAAUAUGAUACUUUAAGAGAUCAUAGAACUGAUAGUAGAAAAGUGAACAUCUGUAUCGUGUUCUUUUUACUUACAAAUAUGCCAGAUGCUCCAAGCGCCAAUGCUUUGAAAACAUCCGUUCCACGUCGAACACCACCAUCCAGGAAAACGGGAACUUGGCCUCUAGCAGCUUUAACAACCUGAAAUCAUCAAGUAUUAGAACAUGUUCAUAGCUAAUAUGGGUUUUGUUUUAGGCCAACAAAAGAUCUGCGAAUCAAAAUUUACUAUUGUGCAAUUGUAUCAAGUACCUCUUCCAAAGCCACAAUGGUUGCAGGAACGUAGUCAAGUUGGCGAGCUCCAUGAUUUGAAACAAUUAUUCCAGCAGCUCCACUGGUAAUGGCAAUCCUUGCUGCAAUUAGGAGGCCAAAACAUCAGAUUACACUAAAAGCGCCCCAUAGAAAAGACAAAAUGUUGUUGAUAGAAUCAAAUGAAUGUCUUGUUAUAGCCAUUUUUCCCAUCAUGGUUUACUUACUGUCCUCAGCAGUAAGCACACCCUUCACAAGAAUUGGCAACUUGGUGAUGGUCUGCAGCCACUUGACAUCCUGGAAAAGAAGUUUUUACAAUAAUGCUACCUUGUUUGCUUCCAAAUAAUAAUGGUAAUAGCAAUAACAUUGUCUUUCUGAAUUUUGAAUGACAUUUUUUAGUUACCUGCCAACUGAGAGUACGGUCAAUCUGCCCCGCAACAUAUGAGGCCAGUCCAGAGUCAUCUGCCUGUAAAAAAAACCACACCCCCACAGAGAAAGAAAGUGUUAUCGAGGAAUUGUUAAUGGAAAUAGAAUUCAGCAUAGAGUGGCAUUUCACUCUUACCUGGUCCAUUUUACCAAGAUCCAAUCCCUCAAAGUUCUUCAAUGUCAAAUAUGGUGGCAAAGUAAAUCUGCAUCAAGAACCAUCGAAGUGUGAAGAACAUUUGAUGCAAGCUUUAUUAUAUACCACACUGACUCAAUAUAUCCACACACCUGUUCUUGAUAUCAGCUUCCCUGCGACCAAGCCUUGGAGUGUCCACAGUCAGAGCAAUGGCUUUGAAACCAGCCUUUUCAGCUCUUCUCACAAGUUGUGCCACAACAUUCCUAUCCUUGUACACCUGAAUAAGCAAUAAAAUGAAAUCAGAUGAAACGCAUUAAGACCAAAUUUUUUAGACAAACGAAGCAGUAAAUAGUUGGUGAUAAUAUAAAAUGUUGCUUGUUAUUAUUCUUGAAAACUCUUUAUAAAUUGUUCUUACAUAUAGCUGGAAGAAUCGAAUGCCAGGUCCAGUGGAAGCAACUUCUUCAACACUGGAAGUAGCCCAUGAGGAAAGAGUCUGAAAGAAUUGAAGAAUAGCUCGAAUUAAUCUUAGAAAUAAAGUCCUUAACCAACCUCACACUUGUAAUUCAAGUCAAGACUGUGUGCCAUAAAUUUGAGAGAACAGAAAAAACUUUAGGCUUCGAGGAAGAAAUUUAAACCAUAAUUGUGCCCGCUGCAGAUGCUGCUCUGGCUGUUGCAUACUCCCCUGCAUUGAAACAGCAAUAUUAUUCAGACGAAAACAGAGUCAUUCUUGUAGGAAGGGAAACGUAAAUCAGCUCAAUAAGUAUGAUUAUUUUCUUUUAACCAUAAAUUUCGUCUUGAUGUGUGAAUUUUCUCAUUCAAAUCUAAUGUGAGUACUAAUCUCGAAAUGCAACUACAGUCUAUGGUUGACCAGAAAGAUUUACAAGCCAUUAAAACAGUUCAUAUACAUAAUAGAACUUGACAAAUCAACUUUCAACAAGUUCCGACUAUCGAAUGUUUUCUAAACCAUAAAGACAGACACUGCAUGACUGUCUAGAAAAAUGGAGUUCAAAAUGGAAUUAGGAAGUUUUUACCUUCAGGGUGAGCCAUCUUUUGCAUGGCAGUGGGAGCAAUCAUAAUGGGCAUUGAAAUUUUGAAUCCCAACACAGUUGUUGACAUGUCUAUCUUACUCACAUCAAUAAGAAUACGAGGACGGAACCUGUCUCGAUGAAAGUUAGCAACUGUCAGACAAUUAGUUUUAAUAUUGCUCUAGGGAGAAAAACAGAACAAAGAACACGAACUCAGAUUGAAGCUUCUCUAAAAAAAUUCAGAGCUGUUUUAAGUGAAAUUUAUUUUUUAAAAUUAUAAUUAAGGAGAACAAAAUAUUAAUUAAAUGCUUGCUUCAAUAGCAAUAUUUAGUAUCUUCAAAUUUUCCUAAACUAUUUUUAACUAUCAUGAAAAUUGUGAAAAGUGCUUCUAUUGAGAUUAAAAGUAUCUUUCAUCCAUUCAAAAGUGUCCAUAAAACUCACGCUCUUGGAUAAAGAACUAUAUGAGUGUUUUCUCCAAAUAUAUUUUUUAAAAAGUAUUAUCUAAAAGCACUACUUUCUUCAAAUAUCAUCUGAAACUAUCUUUCAAAGAUUUAUCUAGCAAAUAAAAAAAGAUGUACAACACGAGAUAAAAAGUGAAGUAAUGUUGUAUUGAAAGCACUAGCGAAAGCAUGGAAAGGAACGUACAAAAUCCUGGAAAAUGCAUUUCGAUUCUCCUUCAGUGUCCACUGGUCCUCUGCACCAGAUGCAUAGUAGUCAUAAACCAUCUUUGGCAACUUCUCCUUUGCAAUAGCCUCAAACUCGGUGACAUUAGUAACCUCCAUCUUUUCAGCAACCUACUUAAAGCUGUGUUUAAGAAAAUUAGACAAAUUAAUUCAAAACCCAACAAAUUGAAACGAUCUGUCAGGUAUUUGAUGAAAAGGGAUGAAGCAACAAUUCUCAUCAAGACCAAGAAAGUACAAGUCUCAUCAUGAAUAAUACGAUUGAUGUACGAGAUAAUCAUUGAUUAACAAAGUAAACUAGUUAUUAGUUUAUUACUUUAAGGUUUAUUCAUCUAAACCAGCAGAAGAUGCGUUUAUCGAUACUUUAUUCCAUGCUUGAAAACUAUUGCAAACGAACAUUCAUCGAGUAUCAAGAUAUGAAUCUAAUUGAACCAGUGAAUAUCAGAUUCAUUUCACUCAAGUUCCAUAGAUAAACCGACAAUGAAACAGAAAACAAGCCCACCCAUCAUCAUCAAAAUCAAAUUCAUAGAGCAGAAGUGAACGUCAAUCUAAAAGAAUCCAAACCCACAUCAAUGAAACAGAGAAUAAACGAAUAAGAACUGCAUGAAACACAAAAACUCGAAAUACCCAAAUGAGUGAAGAAACAAUACACAUAGAUGUAGUACCACAAAAUCCCAGAUAAGAGAAGAACAAAUCAGACGUGGCAGAAGAACAAAUGAGGGGAGAGAGAACAUACCCUUAUCUGUGGAAAUGAAAAUGAAUGAAGGGAAAUAGUGAAAAGGGAUUAAAGAUAACAAAUAGAAGAUGGAAAGAGGAGCGAAAGAGAGAGAGAUUGAGCUCUCAAAAUGAAGAAUGCGAAAACAAACAACAAAUAUAGCAAAAGGGCGAUAGAGGAAGACCGUGAUCGGAUUGAAGGAAAAGACAAAAUGGGUGGGAUCAAAUUGGGGAAAGAGAGAGAGAGACCACAUUAUUUGGAUUGGAUUUUGAAGGUGAGCGUUAGAAAUCAAAUCUGUUUCACAGAAAAUUCUCAAAUUAAUCAAAAAUAAAAACUUGUGUGGAGGGCGAUCGCAAGACUGUCACUCCCGCUCAAUCCUCGAUAAAAUCCCUACUUCAAUAAUGUAAUCUAAUUUUCUAUUCGAAUUGAUCAGAAUGAAGAAAAAAAAAAUGGUGGGGAAUUCAAACUUUGACAAAUUUGUGCUUCAAAAAACGAAAUUUAUCUCUCAAAUCUUCACAUGCUUGGAAGUUGAUGCGGAAAAUAUAAUUCUUUACUGACUAUACUACAACACAAACUUAUACCGUAUCUGUACCCAAUCUUGCUUUCCUUAUAAGUACUUUAGGCCUUUGAUAUGAUUGAUUCUUCUUUAUCUUUGUUAGUACAAUGCUUACUUUAUUAUUAAUUUUCUUAUAAUCACAUCUUUAAUCCAUUUUCAAAAUUAUUUCGAAACAUUUCUUGUAUUUUAUAUUGAAGUUUUCGUUCCAUUGAAAUAGCAACAGUAAAACUAAAUUAGACCGAAUCCUACUAAUGUAAAAGACAUAGAAUGUUAAGUGGUUAUAGAUGAAUAGAAGAUAAAAACAAUAUGUAUUUAAUUUCAAUUGUAUCAAUAUUCUAAAUGAUAAAAUAUUGAUUAUAAUGGUCACAAAGAUGGAUAGUUAAUUAGAUCUCUUGUCUUGUAAUCUUUUUUAAUAAUAAUAAUUAAGAGGAAAGAAAAGUCAUUCAACUAAGUAAUUAAGAAUUUUUUUUAUUCUUCCUCUUUUGGUUAGGUGAAAAGGAAAGUAAAGAAAAAGUUGGGAAUUCCAAAUAGUUUAUUCAAAAUGUGACAAUAAACAAUGAUAUUGUAAGUUUACAUCUCUCCUACUUUACGCUUCAUAAUUAGUACCGAAUCAUUAAUUUGAAAAAUGACAUCUAACUUCAUUUAUUUGCAUUUAUACCUUUCCCUUUUAAUAUCUUCUAUACAUAUCAUCAUAUCAUCGUACUUCUAUUUAUUGAUUUGCUUUAAAAUGCAUGUAAAGGUUCAUACUUCAAGGUGUUAUAUUAAAUCGUAUUUGUACUCGGAAAAAAAAAUUGUCAAAUCCCACGUAAAUAUGGUUUGCCUUGAAAACCUUGAAUCCUAAAUCUAAUAAUUCGAUAUCCAAUGAGGCGACUAACCCUAAAAUUGAAUAAGUGUAUCGUAUAAGUAUGGUUAGACUUUAAAGAAAACGACUUUAAAGAAUACACAUAAUGCAAAAUAAUAAAGGAUCUAUGAAAUGUGCAUAAAUCACGUUAUUAUAUAGAUAUAUUGAAAGGAUAUUCUAAUUUGUUGAAGUCGUCCGCCGAUAACAGUGUUUGUUUUUUUACCUACUGUUCAACGUUUAUGCUCAAGUCUUCUACUACAUUAACAAAAAGUUUCAUAACGUAAUAUAAAAAUAAAAGAUCUUCCAUGUUGUAUUUUGAAAAAUGUUGUAAUUACAUAUGAUGGCUAUUAGGUAGGUUUUGAUUGUUUCUCAAUUAUAUUCGAUAAUUUUAUAAAAUUUGAGUGGGAAGAAAAACUACAAAUUGAAGUGAAAUUAUUUUGUUAAUUGAUAGAGGUUUGAAAGAAAUACGGUGACUUUUUCUAUUAUAAAAAAAACGAGUGAAAGUGACGUACCUUUUUCUAAAUUACUAUUUAACGACCACCAGUGCACUAAUCAACUUAUAAACUAUGACUCUACUAAUUAUUUAUUACAUAUAUGUAUAACAAGGAGAUAGUUAAGAAAAUAUUAAUAACCUAAAAUUAUAUUUGUAUUUUGUUUUUUAUUGAUACAAAACGAAAGAAAAAAAUGACUUAGAAUAAAUCGACUUGUAGACGUAGACUAGUUAAAUAUGUAAAUCACCCAUAAUUCAUCGUUAAAUUAAAUUGCGGACGUGAUGUGUAUUUGACCAUAAAAACAAACUAACUUACCCAAGAACGAGUCUCCGACUAAACAUUCUUUAGCUACCACACAUUUGGAUCGUCUCACCCUUAGAAAGCUCCAUACGAUCACAAAGUACAUAUUCCAUUGAAAUCACAACAUUAUUCGUCUCAAUCAAAUCGUCGUGCAUGAAAAAUAAUUAAUCUACACAAAAUUGAAGAAGAAAGAUUUUAGAUUAUAUUCCAUAUCUAUGCCAUAAAUUUAUAUAAACAUUGAAUAAACCUCUCAACUUUUGUGCAUAAUUAAGUAGAAUUUAACUUGACAUUUGAGAAAAUUAAUACCAAUUUGAAAUUAACACAGGAAAAACUUUUAAAAAUUUAGAAGUCUAACUCGUUCAAAUUAUAAGUUUCAUACGACGGUGAACAAACUAAAUUUCAAAAGGAUGAACCAAUAUAUUUACGAAAAAUAAAUUAGGGUUCGAUACAACUAUUAACUUACUGUGGCACGUAGUUGCAAUUUUCAGUAAACCCGUGGAUUGCAUACGGUCGUAGCAGACGUCAUAAAUUACAAAAUCAAUACAGGCCGUUCGAUUUGAAAAAUCGUCCAGAUAACAACGAAAGGUCACAACAUCCAACGGUCGAGAUCACAUUCUCGUGGACCAACGUACCAAAGGUGACAAGUUCCGGAAACACUAGAGCGAAAUAAAUACCGAAACAAAAUACAAAGCGCGGUUCUUGCAAACCCUCGUAGUCCAUAUCUCUUACCAUCGCAGUAUCGGUGGCCUUCUGUCUGUGGUGGUGCAGCUACUUCGUUUCUUCGCUGAGGUACUUUUCUUCCAUGCAUCUUUUCUCUUUAUCGCUGAUAUUAACGGUGCGUCAAACUGUUUCCCUGGAUUGGGGUUUUCUUUUUGCAUUCCCUUCACCCCAAGAAUGCAAGUUUAGGAACAUUCUAAUGUUUUUUUUUCUUCAAUAUUUAGUCGCUAUUUAACCAGUGUUUUAACGCUAAACGAUUCAUUGAACUAUUUUGGUUCUGGUGGAAACCCUAAUUUUUCUUUCAAACUGGGAAUGAGUUGAAAUGCUCUCGAGCUUCACAGUGUCUUGCUCUGUGCUUAUCUCGCUCUUUCUCUUUUGGUGAUUAGGAUCGAAUAUGAUGUUUUUCAUAUUAUUUUUUUUCAUGUAAUAAAUGAAAGAAAUCUCGAUUGAGUGUAUUUUCAGAAUAUUGUUCAUUUUAAUUUUUUGCGACUGCAGAUAAAUUGAAAUUUUAAAAUGGUGAGAGGGACUAUAAUGGAGACAAUAGGGGGUACAAGAGACGGAUUACUGAACAAGAUGCAUGGGUUAGUGAUGAACUUGUUGUUUACCGAAUACUUUGCCCGGAUGAGGUCAUUGGAAGUGUUAUUGGCAAGAGCGGGAAAGUGAUAAACACUUCCAAAUUACACGGUUCAUCUUGGACAAAAAUUAUACAGCCUAAAAACUUGAAAUCUAGAUUCAUCUAGAGCAAAAUUAUAACGAGAAAGCCUAAAAGUUGAUAAGUUAAGGCUUUCUCGGUACAACUAUUAGUUUUUUUUUACCAAGAAAGCCUUCACUUAUCAAUUUUUUAAACUUUCUCCGUACAAUUGAAAGCCUAAAAAAUUGUUGGUUUUUUAUUUACCGAGAAAGCCUAAAAACUUAUCAACUUGUGAAGUUCUUAUGAUUGAGUAAUAAAAAAGAAACAUACAUAUUAUUGGUAUUAGUAAUAACUAUCAAUUCUUUUAGCAUAUCUUAAUUAUACUUUCAUAUCUUGAAGACGCCUUUCAUUUGGAUGUUAUCUCGAUUCAUUUAUGUCUCCCUCUUAAAAGUAGGAUGUUACGUGCUUGAACUUUUACUUGGUUUAUUCAUAAACGACAUCUUACUAAGAGAGGAUUUGCUCUCAAAAUCAAUAACAUCCCACACCCAAAGUUCCAAAAUUUGGACUACAUCUAAAAUCCACCUAAUGGCCCAUACAUUUUAAUACAUCUCCUACAACUUAGCUACAUACUUCUUGCUUAUCUUAAAUGUUUCAAAGAGUGAAAAUUAUCUCCAUAAACCAACAAGAGCUUUUUCAACAUACUUUGUCCUCACUCACAUGCUGAUAAAACACGUGAUUAAGGGUGAAUUAAUUUAAUUGCUCAUGAUGUAAUCUAUAGUGUUUUGUGUUGAUGUAGCUUCAAAAACAAAGCAAAAAGAUACUAAAACAUGUCGAUAAAUAAACUGGUAAACAAUCAAAUUUGCUUAUUAGCGGUAAAAACAAAAACAUUACACAAUAUAUUAACACUUAAUUUUGAUAAAAUUUAUAAUGAUAAAGACCAUAGGAUUACAAAUUUAAAAAUAUUAAAACUAAAUUGUUAUAUACUGAGUACAAAUACAAAAAAUAUGGAAGUUCAAGGAUUAAAAAAAGUGUAUUACAUACCCACACAAAUAUAUAAAAUUUUGAAUGUUAAUUCAUCUCCUUUUUCCAUUAUACUUUUAAAUAAAUUCAUAUUCUUAAAUUAAAACAAAAAACAAAACGAUUACCGAACAUAAUUUCAAAAGUAAAAGUUUCUUCCUAAAUAUUUGGAAGGAACAAAUUAGAGAAAAGAAUACUCUAGCUUUUCAAGUCUGAGAUAAAUAAAUAAUUGCAAUUAUUCUUUUUUUCUUGUAAAAUAUCAACUAUACAUGUGUUAAUCAGACCAUAGCUUAGUAAAUGAGGGCACAAACUACUAUUUCAAAGAUCAAUGGUUGACUCCUAUUUGGACGUAUCUAGGAGGGGAAAAUGAAGAAAUGAAAAAAAAAAAAAAAAAAACGAUGCAUGGUGGUCAAGCUCCUACACUAAACAAAACGGUGUUUUGUUACUCCCAAUGUAUCUCAUCACGUGAAACACUUCCAUUGGUUUCCCCCUCUUUUUUUCUCAAAAUGAUUUACAAAUCAAAGUGGAUAAAAUAAUGUGGCUUUUUUCGCAAUUACGGAAAGCAAAUAACUUCAUAUCUAUAUGUACCUGCCUAUAGAUCAGUUAUCCCUACAGAAAGACAAUUGAAUUGCAAGCCUUAAUCUUCUUCAAAUCCCCCUUCGUACAUUUCUUCGUCCCCAUCUCCAAAGUCAUUGUCAUCUGCUUGCGCUUGAUCGGCAUCUCCAGCAUUGGGUUCCUGUUGAGCAUUUGCCUCAGUUUCAUCUUUCUCACCCAUUGGCCCAACUGGAGGUUCAUUCUUGACUCGCAUUGAUUCAACGCUUUCAUCAUUGAGAAAUGUGGUAUAUGGCUUUGAAACCUGCAAAGUGUAGCUUAUUGUCAUGGAACGGAAGUUGUUUAUUAUGUACUGACCAAAAUAAAUUGUAGUCUUAGCCAAAAGCUUGACUAAUAAUGACAAUAGCUCUACGAAUGGUCAAUGGAAGCCUUGCCUUAAAUAAGCAAUCCCUCUUCUGGGCACUCUCCACCAAGUUAUUCCAGUGUUCGUCCCUUUUUAAUGUUGAAGCAGAACCAACUACCUGAAAGGAGCAAAUUUAAUACAGUAAGCUGUGAGGAAUUGUAUUACAGAAGAAUCUCUGCUUAAGGUUUCAUCUUACCAGGAUAGAAGCUCUUGCUCUAGUGAUACCAACAUUCAUUCGACGACAAUCAGAUAAAAACCCUAUUGACCUAUUCUCGCUUGCCCUGACACAAGAAAAUAUGGCGAUGUCCUUUUCGCGUCCCUAAAAAAAGAGGAUGAUUUUACUUAUCAUGCAAAAUACUGAAUGAUGACAUGAACUGAAGCUACAUUUACAAAAUUCUAAACUUGUAACAAUAUCAGGCACAAUGCAUUCAUUUCCAAUAUCCCUAGCUUUAGCAUUCUCAAGGGAUCUGUUGAAGUUGGAACAAAUAUGAAAUAACAAAAUAAAGACUAGUAAAAUCUAUAUUAUUCUAUACAAUAUCCUAGGAAAGCACAAUAAUGGACAAUAGACUAAUAAGCUCCUAUAAUGACAUAUAUACUAGAACAGGGACAAUUAAACACAAUAGGGUUUAAGCGCAAGACAAAAACAAAAGAGUUGGAUUAUUUUUACAAGGAAAGAGCAUAAAUGAAUUAGGAAUAUGGAACCAAAAAAAGCCCACUAAUCACAAGGAGUUUUGCUUGCACUUUUUUAGCUAUUAAAAGAAAACCUAAAAAAAGGGAACUUGUUUUAAUGAGCAAAUCUGCUAAAAAUAUUUACAAAUACAGCAAAAUUUAGAUAAUAGUAGUUUAUCGGUGUCUAUGAACAUCUAUCAAUAAUAUUUUGUUAUAUUUAUAAAUAUUUUGGUUCAUUGUGUUAUAUUUAAAAACAGGUUUUACUACUAUUUUAUAAAAAUAAUGAAAAUUACGUUGGGACUUCAAAGACAACCUUAGUUUGUGUCCCUUGCCCUUUCUAAAGGCGAGACACCAAACUUGUGCCUAGGAGGGCAACAAACCACUGGCUUUUAGCUAACUAGUUUUCUGAGUUUCUCAAAGCAGCAUUAACAGCCCAUGCAAAAGCACAAAAUCUCCGGUUUCCAAUUAGCCGAAAAGUUUUCAAAUACACAAUAACUUGAGAAGAUAAACCAAUUACCUGGCACCCGUCAACACUUGUAAUAUCUACUAUGCCACUAGGAUCCAUUCCAAACAGAUCCACAAACUUUUCUUGGAGAAGUUUUACUUGCUGGCUAUAGGGUGAUAUGAUUGCAACCUGAGAAUUUGACUUCAACUCUGGAUAUGAAAUAACCAAUUUAUGAUAAAGGUGGAGGACAAAAUCAGCCUCAUCAAUGUUCACCCAAGAUCCACUUCCUGGGGGCUGAGAUUCUUUCCCUUCAUGUAAAUCGAAGAAACAGAAAGGACCAUAACAGCGAUAUGCAUGCCACGCACGUGUUGUCCGUAGUUUGACAUCUUGUGCAUCCUCCAGUGACUCUGCAUAGAAUUCCCUGGAUGGAAAGCUUCUGAUCUGUUGAAAAAGAAGAUAAUUGAGAAAAGCAAACUUUGAUAGGACAUACGACUAGAAGUUGAAACUUAGUCAAAAUCCACGGGGAGAGAGAAUGUUGAGAGUCUUGCAUGUUGUAGUUAGAGCGAAAUAUGAAAUAACUCCAUUCUAUACAAUAGAAUUCAAUAAAUAUAGGCAUACAUGGAAACCCUAAAUAAAGACUAGUAAAUUACAAUAAAAGACAAGACUAAUAAGCUCCUAUAGUUACAUGUAUACCAUAACACCCCCUCAAGCUGGAGCAUAUAUAUUAAUCAUGCCCAACUUCUUACAUAGGUACUCUAUUCAAACUUCAUUCAAGGCUUUUGUAAAGAUAUCUAUGUUCUCCAAUCCUCACACAUCUAGUAGACACCAAACGUUGUAUUUUCUCAAACAAAAUGACAAUCAAUUUCAAUAUGUUCAGUACCCUCAUGAAAAUACUGGGUUAGAUGCAAUAUGGAGAGCAACUUGAUUGUCAACCACAACUUAGUCGGAAUUGUAGUAUUAAAACCCAACUCAAUUAAGAGUUGAUGUAACCACAGUAUUUAACACACUGAUUGUGUCAUUGCACUUAUUGAUCUGAUGAGCUCCAUGAUGGAACUCCACUUGUAGUCAAGUAAGAAUUUCUUAUUGCUUCAAUAUCUAGAAUUCGAAUUACAAGGAAAACGAAUUGAGAAUGACUCAAUUCGGAAAACAAACCCUCUCUCUCAAGGAAGAGCAUGAGACUAUGAUCACUAUUGACUAACUUUUCCUUCUCCUAUCUCCUCUUUAUUUAUACUAACCAACUUAUGAAAUAACUACUUCUAAGUCUACACUUUUCCACACGUGCGCUCCACUGUGGUCCCCGUCUUCUUCUUCCUUCUACUAUACUUAUGUAUGAUAGGAGGUCUAGCACUCCACUCCCAAAUUUACCUCAUUAUAGAAUGAGUCCAAAAGAGUAUAGAUCUUACAAGAGCAAAUAAACGAGCUUCUUGAAAAAGGACACAUAAGAUCAAGCUUGAGUCCUUGCGCCGUCCACGUCUUGUACCUUUGUGUGGGGUAACCUAAUUACUUCGAGAAUUAAGAAGCAAAGUGUUGUUGCUAGAAACAAUGCUGAAACUAAACAUAGUGCUAUGAGUUUGGGAAUCUAUGAAGAAAUCUGAUUGAAGAAAGUUUUCUGAUCUUCACCAAAGACAAUAUUUUACCUGUAAAGCGGGCUACAAGCAUAGCCAAUAAUCCUAUACAACAUGAUAGAAUGAAACAUAUGGAGAUUGACAGACACAUUGUAAAACCAAAACUGGACAAUGACAUUAUGUAUACUCCAUCUUGUCAACAAGUUGAUGUUCUCACCAAAGGGUUACUCAGGCCAAGUUUUGACUAAUGUAUUAGCAAGUUGGAUCUUAACAACAUCUACAACCCAUCUAGAGGGGGGGGGGGGGGGGGGGGGUGUUUUUUUAAUCAGAGACAGACUUCUUUAUUAAUAGCAAGAAAUCUAGAGAGGGAGUGUUGGAAAUCAGAGGCUUUGUUGAUAGUUUAUAUCCCCCAAGGGUAUUUAAGUAUUUUAUUUUACUAGAGCCUAUAAAGUUUUCUUCUUUUGUAUCUUUUAUAGUGUGUGAAAAUAAUAAAAAGUGAUUCUUAUUGUGGUUUUUUCUCCUUGUUAUAGGGUUUUCCAAGUAAACCUAGUGUACUCUUUUUCUACCUUUUUUUUAUAUCUGUGAGUGUUCGGACCAGCUUAUGCGCACCUUGACUAAUCCGACUAGUAAACUCUUUUACUACCAUUUAACAAUAUAUAUGAUGUGUCUUGUCCUACUUUUCCAGAAAUUGGUGUAUCCUAGUGUCGUGUCAAGUGACACUCUCCGUGCUUCUUAGCCUCAAUUUAUGUAGUUGUACUUUGUACCAAGAUCCAUUGAAGAUUAUCCUUUUUUCUUCCCAUUAACACCCACAACACUCAUUUCGUUAGUACCCUGCUUGAAGAAGAGAACAAAAGAGCAGAUGAUAUUUACAAGGUCUGCAGAUAUCUUACUUCAGGAUGCAUUCUAUAUUGGAUCUUCAACAUUGUAACAGGAUACCCAGCUGUCUGAAAUCUCUUGAACAAACUCUUGUCGUAUCUGCAAAUUAAUUAGUUCCCAAAUAAAUAACAAUUGACAUAUGGUGAAAUGAAGAAGCUAUUAUGAUCGGUAAGGAGAAUACUCUACCCAAACUUCUUAGCUGUUGUAGAAAUUACAGUGGCUGGAAGUUGCUCUGGAUCACCAACCUAUGACAAAGAAAACCAAAUAAAUGUGAACUGCAAUGUUGAAUGAUAAAAGCUAGACUUCAAGAAAGGAUGGGCAGCAGUCCACAUGGCAAAGGCUUCGAUAGUUCAUCCAAAAUUAGUCAGUCUACUUUUCGUGUUCUGAGAUAUUCAGAGCUAUAUGUCUAACGGGUUAAAAAAGUACUACUAAUUAAAGAUAUUUUAUUGAUUAUUUGAAAGAGAGAGAUUUUGCAUCUGUACCAGGAAUACUUGUUUGCAUCCAUUAGCCAGAGGAACAAGUGUUGCCAAUUCCACCUGUAUCAAGAAAGUCAUAAAAGAAAAGGAAGGAAAAGUCAGGUCAACAUUAAUAUGAUAUGCUCUCGAUUGUGGGAGUAUGUACACGUAGGCAUAAGAAGUAAUGUUUUCAAGACACAAAGUGCAUUCUAAGGCCACAAGUCUCUAAAUUGCUUUGCCCCAAGGUGAAAGGCAAAAAAAGGUGUCACCAAUUGGGUACUAAAAGAGGUGAUGGAAUGGGUGUUGGGGAGCCAGUUUGCCAAAGGGUUGAAAAUGAAGACCCAAGAUGAGGUAAGCAAGCUACUGCCCCUGUGGCCCAAAAGAAGUUUCAUUUUAUCCAAACCCAUGGUCUGGAGGGCAUUCAUACCCACGACCUUUCUAAUUGCUAUUGACGCCAAUGCAAGAACAGUUAAAGAAAUUCUUAUAAGAAGAGAUUCAAUAAGAGGCAACUACUUAUCCAAAACAACCUAGAAAGAUCUUAUGCCAAUAUCUAAUAUGAAAAUUAGUGAUGUAAUAGGAUUGGGGUAAAUUGGGAUAUCUUGGUCAAAUUCUUGAUUAGUUAUGAUUAAAAUUAGUCUAUUUGAUUCAUUAGGAUUACGAUUAGUUUGCUUUCCAAUUCUAGAAAAUUGUUUUUUUUUUUUUUGUAUUCAUAACAAUGGAUUCAUUAACAAAGAUUCUACCGUAUAAUUAUACAAGAACUUUUCUCCAUUAGUCACUUAUGCUACUCAAUUAGACUAAAAGCAACAGUGGAAAUCUAAAAGCAGCACUUACAGCUUGCGCAGCCUCAUCUAUUAUAACAACAUCAAAACCCCGAUUCCAUUUGCUAAACAGAGAAGAACCACUGAAACUGAGUGUGGAGAAAACCUGCCAAAGUAAAAAAAAUACUGAGGGGGCAAAGUUGUCAUGAGCUUACACAGAAAGGCUCAACAAUAGGAAAAAUGUUACAUACAAUAACACUCUCAUCCAGAAUUGCAGAACGGAUACUGUCCAAGUCUGUCCCUGAAGCUCCACUCUUCUCUUUACCCAUACUCAUAUUGUUUUUCUUUUGUUCCACCUGUAAAGAAACUAUGUCAACCAACUUAAUCGUAAAUAUUAUUCCCUCUUUUUUUCUCUUCUUAUCUUCCUGCUAGUUUCAAAUUAAUAUUGUUAUCUCUUUUGCUCUCUUAUCUUCUUGCUGGUUUCACUUUUAGAUAUAUGCAUCUUACAUGCAUGGAGAAAUCAUUCUAUAUGUGCAAUGAUACGUUUUACAUGUUUCAAGAUCAUUGAGGAUGCUAUCACAUUGUGUGCGUUCCAAAAAGUUGCACAUAAUUAUGGGUGUUUGAGUGAGUGACUGUGUCUGUGUGUCUGUGUGUCUGUGUGUCUAAGAGAGACAGAGAAUAUUCGAUGUAGUUCUGAAUAUUCCCAGAUGCAUACAAGUUCUUUCAUGGAGACAGCCUUUAUGGAAGGAUGGGGUUUCAGUCCAAUGCGCACAAUUUUAGGGGUAUAUGGAUGAUCAUUUUCAUCACGUACACCUACACUUGCCAAAACACACAAAAAAGGGAGAAAAUAUAGAAACUAUGUUAGAUUGCAACAACAAAGCACCCAAUACUGUGUACAGGGAUUAAACUGUAGCAAGUGGCCCCUUUAUAAAAAGAAUCAUGGCUACCCUCAUGAGGUCACAUGUAGGAAACCGAGAUCAAUAUUCUUCAGCAUUAGAGCAACAUAUUUCAAAGAGCACAUGUCUGUCACAAUAUAUAUGUGCCAAAACAGAAAAAACUAGCCUGGGUGGAUUCUAAAUGAUGACAUACUAUAAAUACUAUGCAACACAGAAUAUAUAUUCCAUACACUGCAUAAAUUGAUGCAUGCCCACUAAGUGGUAGAUGAACAAAAGAUAUAUAUUUUUGUUUUCUUUCUACAUCUCCAUUUAACUUGAAACACAACUAGACUGCAUGAACUAAGUAGUCUAUGUUGACAAAUGCCAAGAGUAGAGCUCUUUAGUUUCCCUUAACUUUGGUUAGGAAGCACACCUACAUCUCCCCUUUCCUUUUUCACUUCUUUUUGUCAAUAGAUAAUGGACAGUGUUUAUUACCCAAAAAAUAGGUUUACGUUAUAUUAUUAAGAAACAUAAUAUUAAUUCAAUUGGAUGCUUAUGACUAUUGAUAGACACGACAACUUAUGCAACGCUUCCUACUCGGCCUUUGCAAACAGCAACAGACACUUAACAGUACAGUUCCAUAAUAGUUACUCCAGACAGCAACAGACACUUAACAGUACAGUCCCCUAAUAGUUAUUCAUAAUUUCCACGUCAAUAAAAUCCAAAUUAGAAUACAGUACAAUUCACAUGGGCGAACAAGUAGAGAGGGAAAAGAGAGAGGGUAGAAGGGAUAUAACUUUACCAGUGUUCUGAACGCGCAGAACAAUCUCAUCAAGAGCAGAGUUAGAUGGGGCACAUACAAGCACUCUUACACGAUACUUACGAUUUGACUUUACUACUUCUGGUUUCUACAAAGAAAAUAAAGUAAGGAUCCGUGACUUGGAGGGUUAGCUAGAUACAAUGUUUAACAUCAACUUACCAGUUCAUUUCCUGAGGUAGGAAAAAAACCAUCAUCGCCAUUUACUGGCAUUAGAUCAUCUCUAGGAUUUAUACCAUUUAACCAUGGUGAUGCUUGAUUCCAGUGAUCGUAUCUGUAAAAACAUUUGUAAAGAAGUGUUUAACAUAUACCUUUUUCAUACCGUAGAACAUAUUUAUCUGCAUCAAAUAAUUUUGAUAUAGAUUCUGAAAGUAACAGGACUAAGAAGCACAUAUACAAGCCACAAGAAACAAAUACUACACAACAUUGACAUGGUAAUACAACUGCCAAAAUAAUAUAUUUCUUGUAUAUUUCACAAAGAGAGGGGUUUUCUUAAAUUGAAGAACAACCCAUUACAAAGAAGGAAAAAAUAAAUUUGGGACAUAUAAUAUAAAAUAUAAUACAAGGAAGGAAAUAAUCAACAACAUUUUUUUCAAAUUAGAAAUUAGGACGUGGACAUGCCAAAGGCCCUUAUUAAUAUUACAUUUCUUUAUAUAACAUUUAAUACAAUUGUAGCGGGCUAAAUUAAAAAUAAUGAGUUUGAUUCAUUUCAAUUUCAAAUUUUAUCAUCUUUAUCCUAUAAUAAUUAUGUCUAUUACGAUACUAAGCAAGUGUUGGCAAAAAAGUGUCAGACUCAUAUUCACAAUGUGUGAAUAAGUGUGCACAUGUCUCAGUGCCUGCUACCCAAACUAAAAAUUCAUGCUUCUUAACAGGUUAUAUAAAGAAAUGCAUAGUUUCUCGAAGGUAUAUUAACAGUUGAAUAUACAAACAUAGGCAUCAAAGUAAACUAUACGCACAUCAAAUGGUUCCAACCCUAUCCUUCGUACACAGUGAUGAUGAACAAUAGAUGUAAUAACAGUGAUAAUGAAUAAUAGAUGUAAUAACAGUGACAUACUUUUCCCUCACAGGUAAUUCUGAUCCAUGUCUUGUUUCAAUCAAACCAAUCCUAAACAGGAGAAAAAACAAUAAUUUGAGAACAUGCAUGUCAGAAAACUGCUGCUUGAGCAGUGAUGGAAGAUAAAGUUUUUCUGUUUCUUUUACGUGGAAUGCAUCCUUGCUGGUGUGGCAUGCAGAAUGGCGCUAAGAAGCCCAAGGAUGGUCUGUGUCUUCCCAGUUCCUGGAGGACCCUAGAAGGUAUAAUAUAUUCAGUAUUUGUACUUUGAAAAUAGUAAUAUUGUAGUGAAAAUAAAUUUUGUAUUUGUACUUUAAAAAUAGUAAUAUUGUACAAAUUCAAUCUAAUAAAUUUUGUUUCUUUUGAUAUUAUGGGUUCCUGUGAAGUUGGUAAAAGUGAAUUCUAAGAUAAUGAGGGAAAUCUCAACUAAAGAUGAACCUCCAUACAAACUUUAACGGGCCAACAGGCUAUAGCAUUUCUAAGUAAAAUUAUAGAUAAAAGAAACACAAGUGUGACAAAAUGGACCUGUAUGAGAACAAACGGUUUACGCGACAGACCAGCCUGCAAUUAAGAAUUGUAUACAUUCAGAAAAUAGAUGCCAUAAAUUAAGCUUGCUAAAUAAUUUUAAAAAAUCAGAGAGCAGGAGGAGGGACAAGAGAGGGAGGGAGGUAUAGGCACUUAAAUUCAUGAAUCCUGAAGAAUUUAAAUCAGCAAUCAUCAUAAGAAAAAACAAAAAAAUAAAUACCAGACACAAAACUACUAAGCUUCUUCAUCAAACCGCUACUAACUGACCUGUACAGCUGCCUGUUGGGAUUCAUUAAGAUUUUCUUGCAUAUAAUCCUGCAAAGGUUUGGAAAUUUUCCAGGCUUGAUCUUUACCAGUAUUCUUAUCAGUAGCUGCUAAUAUCAUUUCCUUAAAAGGUAGAGAACUAAUAGACCACAAUGCUAUAUAUUCACGAAUGAUAGUUGAUAAACUGCAAAUCUGCAAAAUCAGCAAAUAUCUUAGAAAAGGUCUAACCACAAAUAAGAGAAUUAUUUUGCAGUUAGUAUCUAUGAACUUACAAAUAAUAAUAAGAUUAUUAAAAUCCAGCAACAAGAAGGACAAAGCCACCAUGCAGAAAACUUACAGAAACUACCAAUCAUGUGAAACUUUUACCUUUAAACUGUAAAUAUAUAUUCCAUCUUUACUAGAAGAAGUAAUAUGGGACCGCACUUUCAGAAGUCUUGGAGAAGAUACGAUUGCCUCUACGUCUUUAUGUGUGACUUCUCCCGCCAAAUACAUUCGAAGCCUGAGUUUACUUUGUUGGCGACUUUCCACUAAUGCAAAGGCAUACGUGGUGGGUAGUUUUGUAUUUUCCUGAAACUGCAAUAUAUACUUGGAUGUCAGCCAUAAGAAGAAAAAAAUUAAAUAAACAAACCAAGUUUAAUAGCCAUACAAUCAAAACAUUUAGGAAGAUCCUGAAACAGAAUCAAACGCUGCAAAGGAUAACAAUGCAAAUGUGAACUAACUCUUUGCUCAUUCUAUUCCCCCAUUUAGAUUUUCCAGAUUAUUUUUUUCAAACUCAGUGUUCAUUAGACUCGAUUUUCUCUUAGCCUGAGCUAUAUCAGACCUGAAAGAAGAAAGGGGAGAAAGCCAGCAGAAUUUGAAGAAAAAUGUUCCAUAAGAAGACUGUCUAGGGAACAAAAACCACUACAAAGCGAUUUUUCUCUUCAGUUCUCUAAACUUCAAUAUGAUGUUGGGGGAGGGGGAAGAAGAAUGAGGGUAGAAGUUUUAUUUUAUUUUUUCCCUCACCUUCUCCUUGGAGAGAAGCAAAAGAUCAUUUGGUGAUAGGAAGUCACCCUUUUCGCUGUCUUCAUCCUUUAAGUCCUCGUCUCUAAGAUACACCAUCUCUGGGAAGUGGAAUCCAUUAACUUCACUGCACUCCAUGAUUGCCCUGAACUUCCAAUCCGAUGCUGCAAAUCCCAAGUGCUAAAAUUUAAUACAAGUGAUACCGUAGAGGAGAAUUACCAAUCAUAGAAACUCAAACUAGUGUAAUCUAGAAAAAGUAACCUACAACAUAUAAAAACACUAAAAUACAAUAUUUCUAAUCACAAUUCCAUUUUCAAAGAGAUCAAUGCAUUUGGAAAAGAAUACCUUCUUCAUCCUCGUUCCUCUGUAUAAUCUGAGCCUUGAUUUCUUCUAAUAAAAGCGGCUCAAAAGUAGAGGUAUAAUCGUCAACAUCUUUAUAUGUGGACUUCACUUCCUUUAAACCCAAUGACGCUCCAUCUCCAUCAUUCUCCUUGCGUUUCUGCUUUCACGAAGACUGAAAGUAAACAAAACGAAGCCAAAUUCGAAAAAAUAAUAAACAGCGAAUAAUUGAGUUCAAGUAAUCGAACUUUGGAGUUCUUGAGGAGCCGGAAAUAGUCCCAGCUGAGAAUAAUUUUGAACAAGCGACUGGUAACAGAUUCUUCAACAGCUUUCUCUUUAUCUACAGCCAUUGAUCGAAUACUUCGAAACUGACCCAAACAUAACAACAGAAGAGUUUCAAUAAUUCAUAAUAACAUUCAAACACUUCAAUCCAAUUCGAAAAGAAACUUAAAGCAACGUAGCUUACCUAAUCUUACUGAAAAGAUUCCGAACUGGUUAAACUGACUUGAGGCUAAUCGAGAGUGGUUCAAUGCCGAAACGAGAAACAAUGUUUCCAAAGGCUCGCGAAGCCGUUCAAAGUCGUGCCCACGGUGCGAGUGAGAUUCGUGGGCUAAAACUCGGUGGCGAGUAAAUGAGUCACCGGAGGCUAGUAGCGUGGUCUGAGGUCAAGUACACACACGCCGCUGCCUACAGCUCGCAACUGUUGGAGGCUCGCCGGACAAGGCUGGACAAGAGAGGCGGAGCGGCGGUUGCGUGAGGGUGUGAAGGGAUGGAAGAAGCUGAUGCGGGCACCCUCCUUUUUCAAAAAUUUUGAAUGCAAAUAAUUAGAAAAAUUAUCACACUUUUUAGUUUCCAUUUUUUAGAGCUCAUGAAAUGGUCCAUCUCGAGUCAGAUCAACUUCUGAUAUUUCUUUAAACUAUUAAAAUUUUCCAACGAUUGUUUUCCCUUUUCUAGGUACAUCUUUAUUAUUAGAUGGAGAUUCUACCAUUUUCUAAAUCUACUCAGUUCUUAUUUAAUUUUUUUUUUCAAAAAAAUUAUUCCAAUAUUCUCAAAUUUUACAAUAACCCUUAACUAAUUUUUUUCAGUCUUGUAAAAAAAUUAUAGAUCUUAGUUCAUCUGAACAAAAAUUAUUCAUCAAAAACUUGAAAUCUGAAUUCAUCUCGAGCAAAAUUAUAACGAAAAAGCCUAAAAGUUGAUAAGUUAAGGAUUUCUCAGUACAACUAUUAGUGCUCUACAGGAAGCACAUGUCAAUUUAGUGCUCCCGAAUGAUGCACAACAAGUGGUGCUCACGUAGGACACCUGCAAGGCACACUACCCGAUAGACAAAUCUAACAAAUUCCCCCCAGUCCAUUCUAAACAUUUAACCAAUCCAUUCCUAAUACAGUCCAACUACACCACCAUGUAAUCAUUCCAGUUUAACACACCUACAAUCAACUUGCUUAAUUAUAUCACAAUAUCAGUAAGUAGUAAAAACAACACAUCAGACAAUCAAACUACAUACAUAACACCCUUCUCAAUUCAAAUACACUGUCUAUACCUUGACAUACCAAUCACCCAAUCUAAACGAUAGUCAACAUGAUCAUUUCUCUAUAUAUCAGUCAACCAUACUAUGCAGUUGUCGUCAUGUCCACACACACACACACAUAUAUAUAUAUCAGUAUACAUUUAUCAACAAGUCUACUUUUAUAUAUAUCAGUCAACCCUACUCAGUUCAAAAUAUCCAUACAGUCAACAUAUUUCAAAUCUAAUUAAGAGUUCGGUAGUAGAAAUCCCUUACUUCGAUUUUAUGCAAGAUCCUUGGUCGAACUAAUUACAAACAUAUAUAUUGAAAUAAUAUUUUGUUGAGGUUGUCCACUAGUAACAAUGUUUGUUUUGUACAUAUUGUUCAACGUUUAUGCUCGAGUUUUGUACUACAGUAACAAAAAGUUUUAUAACGUAAUCUAAAAGGAAAAGAUCUCUCAUGUUAUAUUUGAAAAAAAAAAACUCUAAUUACAUACAAUGGUUAUCAGGUAAGUUUAGAUUGUUUCUCAAAUAUAUUCGAUAGUUGUUUAAAAUAUGAACAUGAGACAAAAAAAACUAUAGUUUUAUGUGAAAUUAAUUAGUUAAUUAAGAGAGAUCUUAAAGGGACACUGUGUUUUAUUCUAUUGUAAAAUUAAAAACAAAGAAAGUGGUAACGACGAUGUUUCAACACCGAGGUAAACUUUAAUGUAUAUCAGGAGACUGUAGAUGUACCUUUUCUAAAUUACUAUUUAACAACUAUGACUCUACUAAUUGACUACGUAUAUGUACAACAAGGAGAUUGUUAAGAAAACAUUAGUAGUUUAUAAUCUAUUAUAUUUGUAUUUUGCUUUUGAUUGUUUCAUACCAUGUAUGAUUAUUUGUUAAGAAAAUUAAUACAAAACGAAGAAAACGAAAAUGACGGAUAAUAAAUAAACUUAUAGAAUUAGAUUAGUUAAACAUGCAAAUCACCCAUAACUUAUUGUUAUAUUAAAUUGGCGGCGUGAUGUAUAUUCGACUACAAGAGCAAACUAACUUGCCCCAAAACAAUCAUACAAAUGCAUUAAACUCGGCAAAAUACAAUAUACUUUGAACAAUUUUUAAGAGUAUUCUACGGUGCUCUUAACCAUCUGUCAUUUCGAUAAUUGUUUUUUUCACAACAAAAGACGAACCAAUCUCUGACUAGACAUUCUUUAGCUACCACAUCUAUUUGGAUCAUCACACCCUUAUAAAGCUCCAUGAGAUCACCAAGUACAUAUUCCAUUGAAAUCACAACAUUCAUUUUAAUCAAACCGUUAUGGAAAAUAAUUAAUCUACACAAAACCGAAGAAGAAAUAUUUCGGAUUACUCCAUGUCUAAGCCAAAAACUUAUAAUAACAUUGAAUGAACCCCUCGUUUUUUGUGCAUAAAUAAAUAAAAUUUAAUUUAGAAGUCUACCUCGUUCAAAUUAUAAAUUUCAUACGACAAUAAAAAAAACUAAAUUUGAAAAGGAUGAAUCAAUAUAUUUAUGAAAAUAAAUUAGAGUUCGAUACAACUAUUAGUUUACCGUCAUCUUUAAUUUGCACGACCUCUAACCCAUUGUACAAAGUUGCAAUGUCCAGUAGAACCCGUGGAAUGCAUAAGGUCUCGCAGCAGACGUCUUAAAUUACAAAAUUAAUACAGGCCGUUCGAUUUGAAAUAUCGUCCAGAUAACAACGAAAGGUCACAACAUCUAACGGUCAAGAUCACAUUCUCGUGGAUAACGUACUAGAAGUGACAAGUUUGGGGAACACUAGAACGAAAUAAAUACCGAAACAAAAUACAAAGCGCGGUUCUUGAAAACCCUCGUAGUCUAUCCUACCAUCGCAGUAUCGGCGGCCUUCUGUCUGUGGUGGUGCAGCUACUUGUUUAUUCGCUGAGGUACUUUUCUUCCAUGCAUCUUUUCUCUUUAUCCCUGAUAUUAACGGUGCGUCAAGCUGUUUCUCUGGAUUGGGGUUUUAUUUUUGCAUUCCCUUCACCCCAAGAAUGCAAGUUUAGGAACAUUCUAAUGUUUUUUUUCUCAAUAUUUAGUCGCUAUUUAACCAGUGUUUUACCGCUAAACGAUUCAUUGAACUAUCUUGGUUCUGGUGGAAACCCUAAUUUUUCUUUCAAACUGGGAAUGAGUUGAAAUGCUAUCGACUAGGUUGCGGUUGUGACUCGGUCGAAGACUUCCACGUUUUCGUAAGUUUCCAUAAAAUUAGGGCUUUUUUCCUCGUCAAUUUUUGUACUCGGUGCUUACAUUUCAUUAUACAAUCGAGCUUCACAGUGUCUUGCUCUGUGCGUAUCUCGCUCUUUCUCUUUUGAUGGUGUGGGGGGAGGGUAGGUUGCUUGAGGAACUAGACUGGUGAUUAGGAUCGAAUAUGAUGUUUUUUAUAUUUUUUUUCAUGUAAUAAGUGAAAGAAAUCUCGAUUGAGUGUAUUUUCAGAAUAUUGUUCAUUUUAUUUUUUUUGCGACUGCAGAUAAAUUGAAAUUUUAAAAUGGUGAGUGGGAAGCGACCUUAUGGUCAGAGGGACUAUAAUGGAGACAAUAAGGGGUACAAGAGACGGAUUACUGAACAAGAUGACUGGGUUAGUGAUGAACUUGUUGUUUACCGAAUACUUUGCCCCGAUGAGGUCAUUGGAAGUGUUAUUGGCAAGAGUGGGAAAGUGAUAAACUCAAUAAGGCAAGAAACGAGGGCAAAGAUUAAGGUGGUUGAUCCAUUUCCUGGUGCUAAGGACCGUGUUAUAACAAUAUUCUGCUUUGUUAAGGAUAAGGAGGAUGUGGAAGUUGAUGACGAGUUCAAUGACAGACAAACAUUAUGUGCAGCUCAAGAUGCUCUUCUUAAAGUUCAUGCUGCCAUUGCUAAUGCACUGGCUUCUGCUGGAGAUUUAGACCGGAAACAGAGGGAUAAAGAACAAUGCCAAAUUCUUAUCCCUUCAAGCCAGUCUGCUAAUGUCAUUGGUAAAGCAGGAUCGACUAUAAAAAAGCUUAGAAGCAAGACGAGGACCAGUAUAAAAAUCAGCCCCAAAGAUGCCACUGAUCCAAUUCAUUCGUGUGCCAUGGAUUUUGACAAUUUUGCUGUGGUAUGUAUAUAUUGCUCCCAUUCAAACUUUAUUUAAUAUCAUUUUUUACUGUUGAUAUCAUGCACCUCCCAUCCACAUGAUAUUUUUGUUUUUUUCCAUGUGUAUUAAUUAACCAUCAGCAUGGAAUGUUCACGGCAGAAAGUUAAACAAAUCAAAGCCUAUUAUUGUCUACUAUGAAAAAGCCUAUUAUUGUCAUCAUGCUUUACAGGUACCAGCAUUGUCUACAAUUGGGAGCCUGAGAACUUAACUGGGCUUUAUAACUACAUCUUUUUGGUGUGUGCUUGUGUGUAAAUAAAAAAAACCAUUCGUUAGUAUUUAAAACCAUGCCAAAAAUGAUGAUAUUAUGUUAUGUCAAUACCCAUAUUUUCUAAGCUCGUAAAGUUGCAGAAGACUGGGUUUAUUGCACAUGCCUUUCUUUACCUCUCAAUAUUUUGAGGUGAAAAUUCUGGGUACCUCUGUGUUGUUUGGUUUAUCUUUUGAAGACUAUAUGCCUAAGGAGUUCUUCAACUUAUCAAUAGACCUUGUACUCUUCUUGGUAUCUAGGUGGGUAGUUAGUCAUCAGUUUUCAGUGUAAAAUGGAAAUAAUCACCAGUGCUUCCAAUGAUCUAGAGAUAUAUGACUUGGUGGAUUUAAAAUGUUUUUGUUACUUGAAAUCAAGUAAUUCAUGUGGAUGGUUUGACUGCCAAAAGUUCAUCGUGCAUUUGUCUUCUAGUUCUUAUUAUCUGACUCUCGAUCAACUUAUAGAUUCUUAACUUUCUGAGAAACAGGUCUCAAAGAACCAAUGUGUUUUGUUAACUUUCCCAUCUAAAUAGCACUUUAGAAAGCUAUAAUGAGAUAUAUAUCAAAUCCUGAAUGAACGUUGACUCUCUGUUUCUGUUUCUUUUCAACAAUUUUGUGGUGUUGUUUGCUGAUCAACAACACCAACUUGCUUUUGUUUCUUUUGAGUAGAUAGCUGGAGAACCUGAGGGAGUAAGACGGGCAUUGUUUGCAAUAUCUUCAAUUAUGUAUAAGUUCCCUCCCAGAGAAGAGAUUCCUCUCGAUACAAAUGUAAACGAAGCCCCUCCUAAUAUAAUUAUCCCAUCCGAUGUUCCUCUGUAUUCAGCAGGAGGGCUAUAUCCAAGUGCAGAUCCCAUUCUUCCUCCCAGAUCUAUUCCACCAAUGCUUGGUGCUCAACAUGUUCAGGAUCUUCACGAUUACCCUGAAAGUGGGAAUGCAUGGCCUCUCUAUUCAUCUUCUCUUCCUGUGGUUCCUGGUGGUAUUAGUGGUCAUCCUCCAUCGGAGGAGUUGGUGGUUAGAGUAUUAUGCCCCUUUGAUAACAUUGGCCGUGUCAUUGGUAAAGGUGGGGGUACCAUUAAAAGCAUAAGGCAAGCUAGCGGUGCUCGUGUAGAGGUUGAUGACACCAAGCGUGAUUGUGAUGAAUGCAUUAUUACUAUCUCGUCAUUUGAGGUACUAUUUCUUCUUUCACAAAAGGCAAGAAGAAGAGUUCUGCUCCAGUGCCUUAAAUUUCUUUGUAGUUCUUUAUAUCAUUUUGAAGGAGGUUUUAUUUGCAGAGUUGGGAAUUAAAUAAAAAAAUGAAUUUGUGCGUUGUAUAAAGGUUGGAAUUUUAGAAGUGUUCUUCCUAGUCCACAAUAUGAACAUGGAAACUGGCUUUCUUUGCACCCGAAGUAGUAGUGCUUCGAUAAUACAUUUCUAUUGCAAAAAAGAAAAUAAAAACUCCUGCUCACUUUGUACUGUACCCUUUAUUUUAUUUGAAACAUUGGCUUCGAGCCAUCCAACAAUUUGUAUCAUGUUAUUUAACUUGCUUAAUGUAUGUGAAGAUUUACUUAGCGUUUGGUUCUUUUAAUUGCAAUUCUUAUUCAUGCUGGAGCUGGUUAUUUAUUUUAACCAAUACAUUAACGAUGCUGUUUUUUAAAUGUAUUUUUCCAGUCCUUGGAUGAUCUGAAAUCAAUGGCUGUUGAAACUGUGUUAUUGCUGCAAGAGAAGAUUAAUGAUGAUGAAGGUGGUACGGUGAUUAUGAGACUACUUAUUCCAUCUAAAGUUAUUGGUUGUAUUAUAGGAAAAAGUGGUUCAAUCAUUAAUGAGAUUCGGAAGUCAACUAGAGCUGAUAUCCGUAUUUCUAAGGGCGACAAACUUAAGUGUGCUUCUUCCAGUGAUGAACUUGUUGAGGUUUGCUUUACUAAUCUUAAUUAGUGCUGAAUGCUGAAUGCAGUAUUGCUUGCACCACACUUCUGAUUUUGAAUGUAUUUUUGCAGGUAACUGGUAAAGUUGGCUGUGUGAGAGAUGCAUUGGUCCAGAUUGUGUUGAGGCUUCGUGAUGAUGCUUUGAAAGAGAGGGAUGUUGGUCAUAACUCUGCUAUUGUUACUGAUUCAAUGUACUCAUCAGGUUCCAGUUUUUCAAUGCCAUCUGUCUUGCCUUCUGUUUCUCCUGGGGCUCCACCAAUGGGCUAUGAUCAGAGGGCUGAAAGUGGGAGUGGAUUAGGCGUUCUCUCUUCAAGUGGCCUAUAUGGAUCUGGAUCACUGUCGGUAGGUGUUGUAAGCGAACUUUUAAUAUUGUGGGAUAUAAGUACUUUUUUUUCUUAUGCAAACAGUUAUAUAGUUGCUACUCAGGCCUUUUUGGAAAAACAAACUUGUUUUGUACCGAAGAGAUGAUGAGGUCAACAUUUGUCAUAUUGUGAUGUUUGAGGGAGGCAGACAGCUUCAACUUUUAUUUUUUGUAUCUGUGUGUAUAUCUUCUUUUUUUUUUGGGGGGGGGGGGGGGGGGUGUUUGAUAAUUUAGUACGGUUAUCUGUGGUGUAUAUCUUUCUGGUGAUAAUGAAGGGAAUUUCUUUCUUAUUUUCUGUUAUUUUCUUCCAUAUUAAAACCUUUUUCUGUUCUUGUAUCAGAUGGGAGACAAUGGGUAUGGAUACAUGUCCUCAUAUUCAUCCAAGUUGUAUGGAGGGUAUGUACCUUAUUUUAUUUUAGAAUGCAAAUUGUUUGCUUUAUUUAUAUCGAUUAGUAACCAUCGUUUUUACAUUUAUUGUUUUCAUUACAGGCUGCCUCCUCCAUCUUCUCUCGAGAUGUUGAUCCCAGCAAAUGCAGCUGGUAAAGUAAUUGGAAAAGGAGGGGCUAAUAUCGCCAACAUUAGGAAGGUUGGUUUGUUGUUGUCUACAUUUCAUUAUUAUUGAUUGCUUUUCUAUGACUUUUUUAUGUGGACAUGUUUUGUAUGUUCAAGUUUAAUUUUUUUUAAUAGCAUAUUUCCUACUCUGAUGGUCAAUUGGAGAACAGUUCUAACAUCACACCAGAUAUAUGUCAUGUAUGAUGAAAAAUUUAAAGGAUUCCGAGUCUACUUGGAUAGUGUUUAUUCUCCAAUUUCCACUUUUAGGUUUUAGAUCUUCUUAGGGAGUAUAUGUGAACUUUUUCCCUUUCUGUUUGUAAGGGUCUGUUUGGCCAAGGGUUUUGGAAGUAGGAGUAGGAAAGUAUGGAGUUAUGAACUCCACCCUUGUUUGUCUCAAAGAGUUAGCAGAGGCCACUGGUAAAAAAACAUCAAUUUUAUACCUUAUCAACUCCGUACACCAUGGGCCCCUAAAGUUCACAACUCCUCAGUAGUUUGUACUAUUCUACUCCUUACCCCAAACACCCCCGAGCUCUAUCCAAGAAGUAGAGAUAUGGCAUAAAUUGAUAGGUAUCGUGAACUAAGUUCAGUAAAGCUAUUAGUAUGGAAGGAUGCUAGUUUUUACAGACCUUACAUCAUUACAGUAGUAUGCUUGAAAGAUUGAAAUAUGUAAAUAUAUAAUAAACGUGCUUUAGUAAUACCUAAAUUUGUGUUCUCUGUUUUAUUAGUGUCUUAAUGUCAGAAAAUAGCCUUUUCUCUUCUCCAAGACAUGUAUCCUGUUUACUGUCUUUGGAUAUUUCUUAGACUUUAGAUUGUUUGCAAGAAACCUUGGGACUGAUGAAACACUUUUAUUGCCAUAGGUAAGUUCAAUGGUCUAAAACUUUUAAUGAUAUUGACAAUUAUACAUACUGAUGGUUAUUCUUUUGUUAUGAGGCUCUUUUGAGUAAUGAGAAUAUAACACUCUUGCUUGUUUGUUGUUCAGAUAUCUGGAGCGUUGAUAGAGAUCUCAGACUCUAAGUCAUCUAGAGGUGAUCGCAUUGCUCUUAUAUCUGGUACAUCUGAACAGAAGCGCACGGCUGAAAACUUGAUUCAGGCGUUUAUAAUGGCUACAUGAGAAGAAAGAUGACUUUUUUUGGAGGUUACUAGAUGAAAAUCUUCCAUAUCUCAUCAUCCUCUGUAGAUCUCCCUAGGUUCAGUUCUGGAGAUGGGUACUUCUUUUAGCCUUCAAAUUCUUCAGUUUUUUCCCAUUAAAUGUGCACCAGGAUGAAGUGGGAGGAUCUACAGCAGGUUCAUAUCUAGGGUUCCUAGAGCUUUUGUUUCUUAAUCUAUUCUUCUGUGGAUUCUUAGAACUUUUAGGAUCUUUCCUUUCAUACUUGUAUGUCUGGCCUUGUCUUUUAUCAGUUGGGAGUUCUCAUUUCCAAUGCUGUCAUACUCACAUUAUAUGAUGAUUAUGCCAGAUGAGUUCCAGGAUGGUCAUUAUUCUCAAUCUUAUAACUGUGUACAAUAUUUUUCUGUCCAUUCUAUCUCCUACUCAUUUUCUUGGUGGACGAAGUUUUCAAUCAUUGAUCAUUAUUCUCAAUGCAGUUGGUGUUGCUCUUGCCUAUGAUAGUGCUUUAUAACUAUUACAGUGCACCUCAAGAGAAGAGAUCGUUUCCAGAACUUAACUAAAGUAAUCAUCAAAGAAGUUUCUCUUUUGAUUCCUUGCUCUGUACUUCAUGUCAUGACUCCUAAAUUGUUAGUAGGUUGGUGCCAAAUAGCAUCAUAAAUUCUGUGUUUUUUUGCCUCUGAUAUUAUGCCUUCUCUGAUGCCCUUUAUUAAUAGUCAACAGUGAAAUUUUCCAAAAUACAUGAACUGUAGAGCUGGGUCUGAAAUUCCUUGGACAUAUAAGAUUAGCUUCAGAUUGAGAAAGUUCAUUCCACGAAUACUGAUUCCCUAAUAAUAUGCUCACUCCAUUUUCUUGAGAGAACAAUUUUGAGAGCAUUCUCAUUUGGAGGAGCAUGGGGGUUUGUUGCUCUUCACUUCUGGUGGAAAGUUUCGUUCAGUGUCUUAGAUGAUUCAACAGAGAAAGGUCUGUCAUGAGUUCUAUUUUCUACACUAAGUUAAUGCAAUUAUCUGGUUCUUUUUAUUACUCCGUAUACACAAAAUAAGGGUUUUUUUGCUGUGAGAUUUUUAUAAAGAAAACUAUUUUUAAAGUGUUCUUCACCAUGUUCUCAAAGUUGUAUUUUGGAAGGAUCUCUUCUUUGUUUUAAUCAAUUUUCAUAACUAAGAACAAAAUAAAGCUUUUUAUAGUUUUUACAGUUUUUUUUAUCAGAAACAAAAAUACAUUCCAAACAGAAAAAAACAAUCCAUUAAUGAUGUUUUUCACACAUAAAAGCACGUGUAUUCUUGAUUUUUACCUUUCAAAAAGAUAACUUUUGUUUUCAACCAAUGAUUAGUUCUAAUUGUUGAACGAGGUUAUAGCUAGUUGUGAAAGUUCAGAGUUCUUUCAAAGGAAAAAAAAUAUCAUCAAGGGGUUUAGAAUGAUGAUGCCUUUCUGCCCUUGUUUUCAAUUCCUUCUGUAAUCAAUCUACUGUAGUGCUCAUGUAGUGUUUUCUUUGUGUUAUCUCUCUUUCCUGUUCUCUUAUGUCUACUUUAUUCUCAUAACAUCAUUUCAUUUUCUAGCCAAUAAAAUCUUCUAAUUUCUAAAAGAGAUUUUGUGAAGAACGGGUGGUUAGGCUUACUCCUUUAGUGUUUUUAAGAGAUUCUAUAAGAUGUUUCCAUGGUCUAAAUCAUCUUGUGUUGAUUCUGUAAUCCUUUCUGAGAAAUUUUUCCUCUGAGGAGGUUGUUUAGCAUUCAUAUUGAUGUCAUGCAAAUGAAUUAUAUGAAUACAUGUGAGUAAGCCCAACCAUUUUAAGUUUGAAGUAUCUCCCUCUUUUAUCGAAGAUCAUGGCAUAAUGGCUUCUGUUGACUUGAUUCUAAGAAAUGAUCCCAUUAAUGAUUGGCAAAUGUGUUCCCAACCAUCUACCAUUAGAGCAACGAAGUCCUAUUUUGAUGUUAGGUUCCAUCUUACCCUAAACUGAUCACUGUUCACUGUGACUUAAAACGAUGGGAUUUUCCCACCCUCUCAUAUGUUUUCUAGUGCAUGAUCCACUAUUUUUGUACAUUCCUGAAGUUGAUAAUCAUUAAGACCAAUAGGCCGUUUUUCAGUUGCAGUUGAUGGCGUAAUUCUUGCAGAUUUUGUUCCAUGUUAAAAUUAGGAUGUCUGCUAUUAUGCCCUAGACUAUUAGGAUAUUCCAGUGCUUUAUACAGAUAGUUCUGCGAUGCCAGAUUCUUUUCUGUUUGGUAUCUUAGCUCUUCAUUCAGUUAUUUUCCUUUACCAAUCCAACAUAAAUAUAAACUUCAGCAGUGGGAACUUGGCAAAAUUGUCUAAUUUCAAUGAUUCUGUUUGCCAAUCUACUUCCCUUUGUUGUAUGGUGGGUUUUCCUUUAUAAGUCAACUAGUAGCCUCAUAAUUAUAGCUGGCCUCGUAGCAGUCAACUAGUAGCCUCACAAGUAUAGCUGGCCUCGUAACGGUCAACUAGUAGCCUCGCAAGCAUAACUGGCCUUUGUUACACUUAUCUUUUAGUUUUCUACUGGACGGAAUCACCGGCUUACAGUGUCAUUUGUGGGCUAGGUAUGUUUUUUGGUUUUUCAUUAACAAACCUCUAGUUGUGUUGCUAGGCCCUGCCGUUUAUUAUUCCUUAUAUUUGUGGCUAGAAUCCCGAUUCUUGUUCGGAGUAAUACCCCAAGGUUGGCUUUACUCUUAUUGUGCUCCUCUAAUAUGAAGGAAAUAGAAAGUUUUGUGAAGUAGGAUGACAAUGGAUGACAGUGAACAACGUAGCAUUAGAAAAACGUAUGUAGCAAAAUAUAGUCAUGAAUAACCUUAUGGUAGUUAGAUCCGUUGCGAAUACUUGGUUUUGAUCUCAUCAUCAAAGAUAAUUUGUUGUGGGGUUUUUUGUUUCUUAAAUUAUGAAGUUAAUGUAAUCAUUAUUUUUUUUAAGGCUGAAAUUGCCCACUUUGUAUUUGAUUCAAGGAUAAGGAAAGAGGAAUGAUCAUCUUUGAAUUUGUUUUUUUGUAGUUUGGAGGGAUUUCUUUGCAUUUGUAAGAAAUCACUAAUUGAAUAGUUUCUAGAUAUCGUUGAAAGUGUCGUCUCUGUUUAACUAAUUUUGAUAGUAACUUACCUUUUACAGAUAAAAACAAAAAUCUUCUAUAUCUCUCAUGUUAAAGCUGAUUGUGUAUUGUUGCAAUUUUUGAAUACAACGCUUUUGAACUCGUGUCUGAGUUAUGAAUUGUGUUUGACAAUCAUUUGAUUUUUGCUUUUAGUUCUUGAAAAUUAACUAUGUUUUCUCCCAAUUUGUUAUAUCUUUCUUGGGUAGCCAAUUUCGAAAAUAGAAAAUAAAAAAGUAUAUUUUUUAGUUCCCAAAACAAUGUUUUUGUAAAAAAAGUAGAUUUAUGAGGUCAAUUUUUAAGAAUCACAUGAAAUGGUUAGCAAACAAAACUAAUGGACGUGAAACGCAAAGUACCGAUUCAGCUUCCAAAGAAUAGGGAAAUUAUGCAAAGAGAGGAGUAAGUUGGUCCAGCUUACUACUUUUCCUUGACAUUUUCGGGACCAUUCGUCUUGGUUGGUUUGCACUUGUGCCUAGAACAUUAUUCUACCAAGUUCAUUUAUAUUUCAAUAAAUUCUGCUCUCUUUAAGAAUUUGAUUCGAUGAAUCUUAUCUCUUUAUCAAAAUAAUAUCAAAUUCUGUUUUUUACCCUAUAUUUUCAUUCAUAUUCUCUUUUAGAAAACGAAAACGAUAAAGAAAAAUAAUUGUUAGUUAUCAGUUUUUGGCCAAAUAAGAAAAAACAUACUUUUCUCAAAUUACUUUAUCAUUAAUAAUAAUAAAAAAAAUGGUCUUCUUGGACAGAUGAUUUAUUUUGAAAUGCUAUUAAUUACACAUUCAAAUUCUCAACUUAUGAACAAAAAUAAAUAAUUAAAUUCAAUUACAAUUCUAAAGUUGAAGAUUGAAUUCUUAAUUUUUAGAAAAGAAAGUCAUUGAGUCAAGUUCAUAAAUCAAUAUUUCUUUUUCUAUAGUAUCAAUAUCUUUUGGUUUAAUUUCUUAUUAAUGAUCUAAUAAAAAAGUUUCUUGCUAAAUUACUGAGUAAUUUGGUAUAGUACGUGAAGAAAAUAAAUAAAAAGAAGAGAAGGAAGAAGAAAAGGUUUAAUUAGAAUUUGGUGGUUAAGGCCUAAGGGUUUGUUCAAUAAUUGGAAGCUUUAAUGGCUGUCUCUAUGCGUGUGGGUCAGCACGUGUCUAUUCCUCUUUCAUCAAUUUAUGCAUGGGCCCCACAACCAUUCAUUUCCUUCUUAUUUUACCUUUCCUUAUUUAUUCUUUCUUCAUUUCCUUUUAUAUGUCUAUUUUUGUUAUUCCCUUUUCUCUUUUUUUUUAUCUAAUUAUUAUUCAAUAAAUGCUUUGAUCAAACUCUGUCCUAAAAUAUAAUUUCUUCUUUUUUUUUUUUGAAAUUUUAUUGUUAUACAAUCUGGGUAGUAGAUGAGUUGAGCUUAUAUUGACAAAAUAUAAAAAUUUUAAUCAACCCAAUUUCUUUUUUUUUUAAAAAAAAAAAGAUUAAGAACAACAAAUAAUAGUGGAUGAAAAAAAAAAGUAAGGGAGAAAGCUAUUUUAAUUAAGAGGUUGGUUGAGAAUAUAAAUUGUAUAGGAUAAAUUUUAUUUUGAAUAAAAAUUGUAUACUUGCAAUUUGAAUGUGUAUUAUUAUUAGUAAUAAUAGGGCCAAAUAGAAUGUCACACAGUUUGGAGUUUGGAAACAAACACACACACUAUGUUCUCUAUCAAUUUGUCUCUCAAUUCUCUAAUCUUUUAAAAUAAUAUUUAGUUAGAUCUAAUCCACCAUAGUUUGUCACAUCUCCCUUUUAUUAAUAUGAAAGUUAAUAAUGAUGUAAUAAAGUGGGUGCAGCUUUGGAUUUGUAAUUUUAACACAUUUGAGGUCAUCUCUUGGUUGAUCCAAAGCAUUUAUUGGUAAUUUAGUUAAAUUAGUUGUGGCUCUAAUCUAUACUUCUUAAUUACAUAUUCCAUUACCUACUCUACCUUCCAAUUAUAAAUAAUAAAAAUCCUCAAAGCUUUUCUAUAAAUAAAGAUGAUAAGCACUCAAUAAUUACAAUAAAUAUUUUAUUCACUAAGUUAGACAAACAUUAGUUGACAUUUAAUUCAAUUAGCUUAGGUAAUUAAAAAUGUUACUUUACAAUCUUAUAUUUUCCUCCUCAAAGAAAAAAAAAAAAAAAAAAGAGAGAAGAG